AUAAUCGAUCGCAAAGCUGCCUUACUUUAAAAACGUGAAACGCAAGUAAGAGAUCCGCGUCGCAGCGUAAAAACAAUGGAGAGAGAAUCGCCCAAAAAGCUGGAGGACGCAUUGGAAGAAAUGGGAAUGCAGGGUGUGCUGCAUUAUUGUGAAACAAUAAACUAUUAGCAAAUGUGGUAACAUAAAAGAGAAGCGAUGUCGUCAAUAAAAUUAAAAUUCGCGUGAAUUAAGUUAACUUACGAAUUAAAAAGCUGGAGUGACUUUGUCACUAUUAGAAAGUGUGACAGAGGAGGAGCUAAAGAAAGCAGUUCCCCAAUUGGGACUGCGUAUGCUGUUCAAUCGGGAGCUUACAAUUUGGAGAGAAAAAAAUAAAAUUACCAAGGUCAGCGCACGCCAAAACGAAAACGAGACCAAUUUUGUGCUCCACAAGAGCAUUCGUUCGAUUAUAGAGGCGAAGGAGCAUGGUAAAACGUUAAUUAAUAAAGGGAAUCUUGUUGAGGUGGAUAGAAUCUGGCUGAUCAACGCAAUAGUUGAGGAAGCCAUCAACAAUAAUUUAAUAAUUUGUUAAAGGAAAAGUUUUCGAACUGCAACAAAAUCCAUUUGUAUGAUAUCUUAAUUUUUAAAGGAACUCGGUACAAAAUCAAUUACUACUUAGGUGUAAUAUUAAGUGACUUUGAGUUAUUUAAAAUUAAUUUCUUUACUGUCUACAACAACGAAGCUUACGUUAUAUGCCAACAAAUUCAAAUUACAAACUUUGAUAUACAUUUUCGCGCAUACGUAAUUGGCUCUGCUAUAGAAUAUUGUAUUAGAAAGUUAAGUGAAUUCGACACUGCUCCUUUGCAUUUAUAUCAUGUAAAUAAUGAUAAAACUCUUGUUUGUAUUAAAUAUGUAUAAGCUUCUUAAGACAAAUUGUUCUUAUGUAUGUCAAAAUAUACAAUACAAAAGUUGUACUUUUAAAUAUUAAGAAGUGAAUCAGAUAUAAUACUGAAAUACCAUUCAUUAUGAAAUUAUAUUCUUAAGUUAAAAACGUUUUGUACUUAAGAAAAGAAUUGUUUAUACUUCAAAUAAAUAUUGAUUUCUUGAAUAAAACA